rnacentral:rRNA from 1 species
GACGAACGCUGGCGGCGUGCUUAACACAUGCAAGUCGAACGAUGAAACCUAGCUUGCUAGGUCGAUUAGUGGCGAACGGGUGAGUAACACGUGACUAACCUGCCCCUUUCUCUGGGAUAACGCUCCGAAAGGAGUGCUAAUACCGGAUACUCACACCGAGGCACAUGCCUUGGUGUGGAAAGUUUUUCGGAAAGGGAUGGGGUCGCGGCCUAUCAGCUUGUUGGUGAGGUAACGGCUCACCAAGGCGUCGACGGGUAGCCGGCCUGAGAGGGUGACCGGCCACACUGGGACUGAGACACGGCCCAGACUCCUACGGGAGGCAGCAGUGGGGAAUAUUGCACAAUGGGCGGAAGCCUGAUGCAGCAACGCCGCGUGAGGGAUGACGGCCUUCGGGUUGUAAACCUCUUUUAGCAGGGAAGAAGCGAAAGUGACGGUACCUGCAGAAAAAGCACCGGCUAACUACGUGCCAGCCGCCGCGGUAA